ACGAACGCUGGCGGCGUGCUUAACACAUGCAAGUCGAACGGAAAGGCCCUGCUUUUGUGGGGUGCUCGAGUGGCGAACGGGUGAGUAACACGUGAGUAACCUGCCCUUGACUUUGGGAUAACUUCAGGAAACUGGGGCUAAUACCGGAUAGGAGCUCCUGCUGCAUGGUGGGGGUUGGAAAGUUUCGGCGGUUGGGGAUGGACUCGCGGCUUAUCAGCUUGUUGGUGGGGUAGUGGCUUACCAAGGCUUUGAGGGGUAGCCGGCCUGAGAGGGUGACCGGCCACAUUGGGACUGAGAUACGGCCCAGACUCCUACGGGAGGCAGCAGUGGGGAAUAUUGCACAAUGGGCGGAAGCCUGAUGCAGCAACGCCGCGUGCGGGAUGACGGCCUUCGGGUUGUAAACCGCUUUCGCCUGUGACGAAGCGUGAGUGACGGUAAUGGGUAAAGAAGCACCGGCUAACUACGUG
rnacentral:rRNA from 1 species